rnacentral:rRNA from 1 species
CCUACGGGUGGCUGCAGUGGGGAAUCUUGCGCAAUGCGCGAAAGCGUGACGCAGCAACACCGCGUGAGGGAAGACGGCCUUCGGGUUGUAAACCUCUUUCAGGAGGGACGAAGGCCGGCCGGUUAACAGCCGUGCCGGCUGACGGUACCUCCACAAGAAGCUCCGGCUAACUACGUGCCAGCAGCCGCGGUAAUACGUAGGGAGCGAGCGUUGUCCGGAAUCAUUGGGCGUAAAGCGCGCGUUCCCGUCCGAAAGUCAACGGCUCAACUGUUGAAAGCCGGUGGAUACUGUCGGGCUAGAGUACGGAAGAGGCAAGUGGAAUUCCUGGUGUAGCGGUGGAAUGCGCAGAUAUCAGGAGGAACACCCAUAGCGAAGGCAGCUUGCUGGGACGUUACUGACGCUAAGGCGCGAAAGCGUGGGGAGCGAACAGGAUUAGAUACCCCUGUAGUC